GGGCAGGUCAUGCCGGGGUCUCUAUCGAUGAAAAGUGGUUUCUGGCUGGUGGUGGUGAUAAUAAAAACGGUGCUUCAGAGACAUUGGUGAUGGAUAUGCACAAGCUUGUUAUCUCGGUUUUGACGAAUGUAAAGGGAAGACACCCACUUGCCAGCGAGGGGCUCUCUGUGUCAUCAGCAUUCAUAGACGACGAUCACUUUUUGGUUGCUUUUGGGGGCUAUAAUGGAAAAUACAACAAUGAGGUAUUGUGAU